ACUGUUUAAAAGUAAUAUUAAUUUCUCUAACAUGUGAUAUAAGAGGUAGUAACACUCUUUAUAAGGUAUUACUUGGAUAAAACCGAAAUGUAUUGCAUCAACAUCCUAAUAAUACCAAGCUUGGAAACUCAUGGGUCCUUGUGUAGUGCUUCAGGACUGCUUACCUAAUUUGGGAUAAACAGUGCUAAGGUUCAAUAGUAGUUGAGGAUAAGGAAGCUUUUGGCUUCUAGAGCUAUUUUGAGAUACAUGUGAGGUUACAAGAUAGCUUUGCCAAAAGGUUAUGUAGAGUUUUAAAAUUGCUCUCACAUUCUAGACCUAUCUUAAGAAAACUAUGAGGUUUCAAGCAUGUAUUAGGUCUUAAUAAAGCUCUAAAACUAUGGUAUUAGUCUUUUCUUUUUUUUCUUAAUGUUAUGUUGCACUAAGAUACAAAUUUGUUGCCCUAAAAUUUAAUUUAGUAUCGAUUUUAUUUUACUUAGUUAUAUGGUAAAUUUUGUACCAAGUAU
rnacentral:lncRNA from 1 species